CCUGUUACUGAUUCUAUCACAGCACAAAUCAUAUGAUAAUGCAAUUAUUUGUUCCUAUGGCUGAGAACCCCACAGACUGUGAGCUCCUUGAGGACAGGUGAUGUGUCAUACCACCUUUACACUCUUCGGGUCUCCCUCUGAUAAAGGCAUGGGUUUUGCUGCAAGAGAAAAGAAGCUCUUCAAAUCUCAGAGGCAUCUUUCAAGGAUCCCGAAGACAAGGCUUCUCGAGCCAGGUCCAGCGAGCGUGUCAAGCUGUCAAAUGCAACCUUCACUCAAAUAUUCCACGACUGCAGCGGGAGACACAAGUCGGCAGAUCUCUGGUUCCUCACUUAUCCUGGAGGAAGUCCAGAUCCAGCAGGAAUGCAUGGAGGGGUGAGGUGAACGGUGAAAGCAGUAACUGAGGACUGGGUCUGUUGGCUUCUGGAUUCUUCCCAUGGCUACUCUCUCUACGUCUGAAUUCAUUCUGCUUAUAAAGGGCUCUAGUCAUCUGGAUUGAAAACCAACCUGAUUCAGUGGGGCUACACCUUAACUGAAGUAGCAUCUUCACGAGAUCCUAUUUACAGUCGGUCCACACGCACCAGAACGAGAACCAAGAACAUGUCCCAACUGGGGUACCCAAUUUGAACCACCACAUCCGCUCUUAAAUAUACAUUUUUCUUUAGGAGUUCUGUAGGGGACACUGUUGAUGUGCCACCCAGGUUUCUGGGAUCCCCUUUACCACGUCUGUGCACCCUGUCCCCAGGCUAAGUGUGCUUUUGUCUCCAAAGGACAUAUUGCUGCUCUUUUUUUGUGGAUUUUCUUGGUGCAAAGAGCCAGAAAUGUCUGGGAGAUGGAAAGGUUCAGGAGUAAGGAAGCCCAGCCCCCAGGUCAGCAUGACUCUGAGAUCUAAUUAAAUUACCAAUCUUGAGGUCCCAAGCAGGAUCAGUCCUCCCGGGACUUUAGCUAAAUUCUGAAUCUGCACAUUUGCAUUGCUGCUGCUUCUUCUCUGCCCUGCUCCCUCAACUCUCUUCCUAGUCUCCCCUGAGAUUUGCCUAAUAAAUCGCUUGCACAUGAAUUCUCAUUUCAAGGUUGACUUCUGGGGACCCAAUCUUUCCAUAACUCCAGCUUCAUCACCUGUGACUCAGAUCCCCGAAGGUGCCCACUGUGAGUUGGUGGGACAUGGGGCCCAGGGAUUCAAAUUUGCCGGUGCCAAGUCCGAAGGCAAAGAGGCCUCUGAAGGACCUUGCACUGGCACUGAAAUGCUCGGGCCUGGAAGUAAGACUCUUCACUUCUUGUCACAACACAUUGCCCAGAACCAGCCUCCUGGCCCCACCCAACCACAAGAAGCUGCCAUGAUGGAGAGGCCCAAGUGACAAGGAAAUGGGGACAGCAUCAGGACACCAACCAGGAAGGGACUGAGAAUCUCAGCCCAACAAGGCUGAGUCGCAAGGAACUGAGUUCUUCUGUCAAAUGUUCAGUGACUUGGAAGCAGAUCCUUUCCCAAUGGAUCCUUGAGAUGAUGGCAGCCCCGGCCAACCCUCCGAUGGCAGCCGUGUGGAAGACUCUGAGCCAGGGGCACACAGCUGAGACAUGCCUGGAUUCCCGACUCACAGAAACUGUGAAAUAAUAAAUGUAUGUUGUUUUAAGCCCCAAGUUUGGGGAUAAUUUGUAACGUAGCAAUAGAUAGCUAAUGCAAACACCAACUACACACCGAGUAUUUUGCUGGUAUAAAAGCCACAAGUUGCCUUAAAGAGAUAAUCCUGCUGCCACCACACUGUCCCCACCCUUAACCCCACUCCUUUAAGCAAGGACAACACAUGCAGUAAAUCCAGUCUGCCCAUGCUCAGGGUGGCUGUUUUAGAACACCUAUAUGCCUUCCUUUAUCUCAAUCUUCCUCAUGCUUGAUGAACUCUACUUGAGCUGUUUUUAAAGACUGUACACAUGCCUGUUUCCCACUCCUAUUCUAUUUUUUUGUAUUGGAAGGCAGUUUUAUGCAAUGUUAAAAGAACAGAUUCUGUAGCCAGAUUGCCUGGGAGUCAAGCUUAGUCCCACCAUUUACUAACUAUUUGCUUUUAGGAACAUUAUUCCACUACUCUGUCUUCGGUUUUCUUACAUGAAAAAUGGGGAUAACAAUAGCAUUUGGAUUGUGGGAGGAUAAAGUGAGGUAUCACGUGUACAGAACAUAGCUUAGUGGCUGGGAAGUGGGUAAAUACUUAAUGUUUGUUAGCCAUCAUUAAUCUCAGACUUCACACCUCAUUGUGUAGGUAAAGUAUUUGUAUCUGGUGAGUAUCUCCAUGCUCUCAGUGCUGUUCUAGGUCUCUGCAAUUAUACUAAGUCUAAAUUAGCAAAUUAGGGACAGCCAGGUCCAUGAAAGCCACAAAUGAGAUCAACUACGGGCAUUCCUUGUUUUAUUGUAUUUCACUUCA